AUACGUGCUCCGGGGUCGGUGAGAGUCCGAACCGGCGGUGACAGUCCGCGAGCGGUGCGCCCAGGCGCCCUGCUGAGCCGGUGGAAUUCCGGCACCGACGGUAAUGCGUGCAGGCGAGAGCCUGCCGCUCAGUCCGGAUGGGAGGCAGCACGGUG
rnacentral:ncRNA from 1 species